ACACUCGAAUCCUGUGCGGGCAGUAACCGAUGGCCACACUCAAGCAGAUUUGGGCACGCAGGAGUUUUCCGUGCCAAAUCCAUCUCCAUCCCCCCAAAUCCAUCUCACGGCUCUGACUUCCCCCAAUCCAAAUCCAUCUGCACCUCAAUCUGGCCAUCACUUCCCCAAUCCGCUCAUCCAUAUACACCUCGCACCCUCCUCGUCUCCGAUUUGGUACACCUGAGAUGUCCAAGCAACUUGCAGCAAGGAAGAAGAAGGGAUCCCCACCCUCUGCGGCGGCGGCGGCGGCAGUAGCGGCGCCGGCCGCAGCCUGCACCCUAGGUCGCGGUGGCUUAUCGACAACGACAGCUUUCUCCCUCGGCCAUGGUGGCAGCUCGGCACCGACGGCCCGGUCUCUCGGACUUGGCGGCGGGUAAGCAACGGCAGCAGCCCGCCCAACCAGCGGCGGUGUCGGCAUGGGCGCGGUGACGGCGCCAUCCUCCAUUGAUGGAUCCAGCGGAGGUGGCUUCCCCAGCUCGUUGUUGUCCAUGGAUAGAUUUCCGUUCCCUCCUUCACCAUCUCCAGCUUGGUUUGAUGCGGCCGGCGCUGAUCCCUCCUCCUGGAUCAUGGAACUUGCUGAAUGAGAAUCCAAGUGCGACCAUAGUUCUCCCACCUGAAGUGCGUACAAGCGACAAUCCUAAUCCAUGCUUCGCAGAGGUACUCCAUAGAAAUUCUGCUAUCAAAGCUCGGCCAACACAUAGGAAACUCAAGAAGGAUCUAAUCGAGCACAUAUGGCAACGCUAUGGAAACAAAGGAAAGUAGACCAGAAAGUCGUUUGAACUAUGCAUAAUAUAAUUAUUAUUGAUGUUUCUAAAAAAUAUUGUAAUUCUGUUGCUCUUAUUUAUGCUCCAUACAUUUCUAUCAACUAGCCACACAGUGGUAUACAAAAAUUUACUUACAAGUUGAUCCUACCUAUAUGCAAAGCAUUAAACAGCUUUAAAGACAGA